GGCCGGAAGUGCAGCCACUUCCGCCGGGCGCCGCGGGGUGGAGGGGCGCGCGGAGAUGACGCAGGCAGCACCGGAAGCCGCUCCCCCGUGAGGCUGCGGACCCCGAAAGGCGGCCGCAGGGCCAGGCGCCAUGGCUGCGGAGCGGACCCGGCCGCUGCGAGGCUCUGGCGGCCCGAGCGCGCCUAGUCGGUGUGAACCCGGCGCGAGGUCCCAGGCCCCGGGGCACUCGCUCAGGUAAAUUUUUCCAUAACCUUAUGGAGAGAAAGGACUUUGAGACAUGGCUUGAUAACAUUUCUGUUACAUUUCUUUCUCUGACGGACUUGCAGAAAAAUGAAACUCUGGAUCACCUGAUUAGUCUGAGUGGGGCAGUCCAGCUCAGGCAUCUCUCCAAUAACCUGGAGACCCUCCUCAAGCGGGACUUCCUCAAACUCCUUCCCUUGGAGCUCAGUUUUUAUUUGUUAAAAUGGCUCGAUCCUCAGACUUUACUCACAUGCUGCCUCGUCUCUAAACAGUGGAAUAAGGUGAUAAGUGCCUGUACAGAGGUGUGGCAGACUGCGUGUAAAAAUUUGGGCUGGCAGAUAGAUGAUUCUGUUCAGGACGCUUUGCACUGGAAGAAGGUUUAUUUGAAGGCUAUUUUAAGAAUGAAGCAACUGGAGGACCAUGAAGCCUUUGAGACCUCGUCAUUAAUUGGACACAGUGCCAGAGUGUAUGCACUUUACUACAAAGAUGGACUUCUCUGUACAGGGUCAGAUGACUUGUCUGCAAAGCUGUGGGAUGUGAGCACAGGGCAAUGUGUUUAUGGCAUCCAGACCCACACUUGUGCAGCAGUGAAGUUUGACGAGCAGAAGCUUGUGACAGGCUCCUUUGACAACACUGUGGCGUGCUGGGAGUGGAGUUCUGGAGCCCGGACCCAGCACUUCCGGGGGCACACGGGGGCGGUGUUUAGCGUGGACUACAAUGAUGAACUGGAUAUCUUGGUGAGCGGCUCUGCAGACUUCACUGUGAAAGUAUGGGCUUUAUCUGCUGGGACAUGCCUGAACACACUCACUGGGCACACGGAGUGGGUCACCAAGGUGGUUUUGCAGAAGUGCAAAGUCAAAUCUCUGUUGCAUAGCCCUGGAGACUAUAUCCUCUUAAGCGCAGACAAAUACGAGAUCAAGAUUUGGCCAAUUGGGAGAGAAAUCAACUGCAAAUGCUUAAAGACAUUAUCUGUCUCUGAGGAUAGAAGUAUCUGCCUUCAGCCAAGACUUCAUUUUGAUGGCAAAUACAUUGUCUGUAGUUCAGCACUAGGUCUCUACCAGUGGGACUUUGCCAGUUAUGAUAUCCUCAGGAGAUAUUACAAAAAAGGAUCAGGACACCUCCCCCCAAUUUUGAAGUAGACUACAAAGAAACCUGUCUUCCCCUCGGAACUGGGGAAAGCUCUAGAGCUGUUCCAACACGGUUUCAAAACAAAACCAAACCAAGCAGAUAGAUUUUAUUUAUUUGGAAGACAGAGUGACAGAAGAAGAGGAGAGAAAGGGAGAGAGAAUCUUCUAUCCGCUGCUGGUUCACACCCUAAAUGGUGUUCCUUCUAUUAAGGAACAUAUUUUCAGGUAUGUUUAUACAUUAUCCUCCAAUGAGAAGAACUGCCACACUUUCUAAAAAAAUGAACGAAGUUUGAGGACUCGCCCUACUUGACUUCAAAAUAUACCAUAAAUCCAGAUACUGAAGUCCUAAUCUCUGUGGUGGUGGCAUCAGGAGGUGGGGCCUGAGGGAGGUGGAGCCUUCGUGAAUGGCAUUGGUGCCCUUGCAGAAGAGACCCCAGGGAGCUCACUGACCCUCUGCGGACCGAGAAGACGACUGUCUCCAGAGAAGUGGCCCUCACCAGACACCUUGAUCCUGGACUGCCCAGCUUCCAGAACUAGAGAGAGAGAGGGCUGUUUCAGUUUGUAACAGCUGAGGCUGGACCUGGCUGAAACUGGGAGCCUGGAACUCGUUCUGAGUCUCAUGUGUGUGGCAAGGAUCCAGCUCCUUGAGCCAUUACCUGCUGGCUCCCAGAGCUGGCUCCUUCUUUUGGUUUUGGCUGAAUACCCAGACCUCCCUGCCCACCCUAAGGUAGAGUUACAGACAAUGAGAGAGAGAGACAGAGAGAAAGGUCUUCCUUCCGUUGGUUCACUCCCCAAAUGGCUGCAAUGGCCGGAGCUACGCCGAUCCAAAGCCAGGAGCCAGGAGCUUCUUCCUGCUCUCCCAUGCGGGUGCAGGGGCCCAAGCACUUGGGCCAUCCUCCACUGCCCUCUCGGGCCACAGCAGAGAGCUGGACUGGAAGAGGGGCAACCGGGUCUAGAACCCGGCGCCCAUAUGGGAUGCCGGCACCAUAGGUGGAAGAUUAACCUAGUGCGCCACCGCGCCGGCCCCUCAAAUGUUUUUGUACCAAAGUAAAUUUGUCUUUUAAUUUCAUUUGCCCACAAACUUUUUGAAAUAACCUCAUAUUGUAAGCACUGGGCACACAAUCCCUCUUUUUGUUGUCUUAUUCAUCAGGAUAGCCCUAAAUUGGGGCUUAAUACAUUUUUGCUGAAUGAAUGACUCCUAGCAAGACAGCAGGAAGAUCAGGUACACACUCCAAUGGAGGAGCCUCUUCAAGGGAGCUGAGGUCAUGGACGUGAGAAGUAUUGCUCCUCUGGCACCUAGAAGCUCUCAAGGACAUUGUACCCCUGCCCCGCGAGCCUUAACUCUUUCUAUGAGAAGACAGCUUAAGAAAAUCAGGUAUGUGUCAAUGUCCUUUGAGUGUUUACUCCAGCCUUGGGAGCAGCACUCUGUGUACAUUGUUUUGUUUAACCUUGAGCCCUGGGACAUAGAUGUUAAGAUCUAUCCACAAGAGGAAGAAAUUGACACACAGAGUUAAAGUAAAUUAUCCAAGGUUACACAGCUAGAAAGAUCAGGAUAGAACCCAGCACUCUUUAUUGUUAAACCACUGUCUUUCCUAAAAAUGAUAGCAAUAAAAAAGCAAGCAAAGUUGAGGAAGUUACAGUGAGCAGUUGUGGAAAUCACUCUGGGCACGAGGUCUAAAUAAAUGCCUACAGAUCCCAGUUAUUCCAUUUAUUGGCGUGGUGACCUUGGGCAAGGCAUUGGACUAUUUUGAGUGACAAUAUACUGGCCUAUAAAGUGGGGAUCAUCACUGCUAGUUCACUGUCUAAGUUUAAAAUUGACAAUGUAUGUGACAUGUUUACAAUCGAAGUGCUCGGUAAAUGUUGGUGACUGUUGAUAUGAUUAAAACAACUACUACAGUUACUCCUACCUUCCCUCCAGGGUUGCGGAGCUCAAAUGAGAGAAGGGCUGGGAAAACUCUGCAGGCUAUGCACCUGUCAGUAACCCCCGUAUGACAAUUACAGCAAACUAAGGGGAAGAGGUAUUCAUGAAGCUCGGACCUUAUUCCUCCCUCAGAUGGUUCAAAAUCUUUGCUUUGCAGCCAACAUUGAUGACGAGCCAGGGUUUGACUUGGUGCCCACUGCGAAUGACGUCCUUCAAUAGAGCUCCAAGAACUGCAGCAAAUGCUUUUCUGGGCUUAUUUUAGCAUCAGAGGGACUUUGAAACAAGGUUUGAACAUUUAGCUUUGUCAUUUGGGGACAGUGCUUUGCAACGACUGUGGAUUUACAAUUUCUUUCUUCCCUUCGUUGUAAGAAGACAGGAGCCAGGAGCCAUGGGAGUAGGUCAAGGAUGUGGUUGGUAGACAUAUCUCUAGGUCCAAAGAAGUUCCGUUGUCGGUUAUUACUGAUUUUGAGAGCAAUGCUUACUUGUUAUUUAAAAAAUUUGAAAAAUGCAGAAAAAUAUGAAGCAGAAAACAUUUUCAAUACUCAUAAUGUAGUCACUCAGAGACAAAGAAUGUUAAUGCUUUGGUGUUUUUCCUUUUUUUUUUUUUUUGACAGGCAGUAUUAGACAGUGAGAGAGAGAGACAGAGAGAAAGGUCUUCCUUCCAUUGGUUCAGCCUCCCAAAUGGCCGCUACGGCCGAAGCUACGCCGAUCUGAAGCCAGGAGUCAGGUGCUUCCACCUGGUCUCCCAUGCGGGCGCAGGGGCCCAAGCACUUGGGCCAUAUUGUACUGCUUUUCCAGGCCAUAGCAGAGAGCUGGUUUGAAGAGGAGCAGCCGGGACUAUAACCAGCACCCAUAUGGGAUGCCGGCGCCACGGGCGGAAGAUUAACCUACUGUACCACAGCGCUGGCCCUUUCCUUUUGAUCUUUAAUUCUGUGCACGUAUUAUCAUUUUACAACACUAUGAUCACAUAGCAAAGUCUUAUAAACUACUUUUUUUUUAAAGAUUUUGUUUGUUUUAUUUGAGAGAGUUACAGACAGUGAGAGGGAGAGACAGAGAGAAAGGUCUUCCUUCCAUUGGUUCACCCCCAAAAUGGCCACUAAGGUCGGAGCUGUGCUAAUCCGAAACCAGGAGCCAGGACCUUCUUCCAGGUCUCCCAUGUGGGUGCAGGGGCCCAAGAACUUGGGCCAUCCUCAGUUGCUUUCUCAGGCCAUAGCAGAGAGCUGGACUGGAAGUGGAGCAGCUGGACUAGAACCGGUGCCCAUAUGGGAUGCCGGCACUGCAGGUGGAGGAUUAACCUACUGUGCCACGGCGCCGGCUCCAUAAACUACUUUUUCAAAAUGUUUUAUAACAAAAAUUUUCUUUCUGCAUAUCAUUUUUUAAAUAGAGGAAUAAUAUUGCAAUGUAGAGAUUUUAUAGAGCACAAAGAACUUAAACCAAUCCCUUAUUGUUAUCUGUAUUGAUUUUUCUAGUUUUCAUUAUUAUAUAUAACAUUCUGAUGUACACUUUUUAAAUUUUUUUAAAGAUUUAUUUAUUUAUUUAUUUGAAAUUCAGAGUUACGCAGAGGGAGGAGAGGCAGAGAGAGAGAGAGGUCUUCCAUCCGAUGGUUCACUCCCCAGCUGGCCGCAAUGGCCAGAGCUGUGCCGAUCCAAAGCCAGGAGCCAGGAGCUUCUUCCGGGUCUCCCACAGGGGGAAGGGGCCCAAGGAUUUGAGCCAUCUUCUACUGCUUUCCCAGGCCAUAGAGAGAGCUGGAUUGGAAGUGGAGCAGCUGGGUCUUGAAUCGGCACCCUUAGGGGAUGCCAGCGCUUCAGGCCAGGGUGUUAACCUGCUGCGCCAUAGCACUGGCCCGAUGAACACUUUUGUACAUAUUUACAUAUAUUUUUCCCCUUGGGUGGAUUCUUAAAAGUGAAAUAAUGAGUCAAAAGGUAUAAACUCUCAAAGGCUUCACAAAUAGGUUGUAUCCCUUUGCGUUUUUGUAAACAGUGAGAGACAUUCCCUCCCCAAUAACAAGUAUUACCAGUUUUGAAAGCUCUGAUUCUGCUCAAACAAAGGUUAAAGAAUGGCAAUUCAUUCUCUCCGUUUGCAGCUCUAUGGUAAUUUGUGUUGCAUCUGCAGCACUUCAUGUUUCUUAGUCAUUUGUUUUUCCCUUUCUGUGAGUUGUCUGUAACUGUCCUUUGCUGGGCAGACUCUGUGAAUAGAGGCCCCAAUAAUCCUAUAGUUGUUUGCAGAAGAUGCCAAACCUUGCAUUUAGCCACAUCUGAUAGGAGGCCAGGGCCCAGCAGGAUUAGAAAUAGUCCAUGUCAGCAUUACUAUUUCAAUGAAAUCAGACGGGGGAAAGUUUCCAUGUUUUCCAAGUACUGGAAUCUGGGAGAUGAAGUUAUUUUUGCCAAACCAUGACUAUCGUAUUAUUGUGUCUCCUUUUCUCUUUCCUUAAAAGCUGCUCUAGCAGGAGGGGUAAAUUUGGGGUGUGUGUGUGCAUCCUUUCUUUCAGUAUGAGUUGAUUCACAUCUUACUACAUGCAAUGCAUAGUGGCCGUGUUGGUAGACUGUGAUCACAGACAAGAGCCUGAGCUUUGGCGUCGGGCAGAUCUUGGGCAAGUUACUUAACCUCUUGGAGGCUGUGUCUUCUUUCAAGUGUGGGUGAUAGCCCUGGUUUUUUGUUUUAUGUUGUUUUCUUUUUUUUGUUUUCCCCCCACCCCCAGGAAACCUUUUAUUUAAGGAAUACAAAGCUCAUGCAUUUCUUAAGUACAGCUUUAGGAACAUAGUGAUUCUUCUCAUUGUACCUGCCCUCCCCCGCCCCCAACCGCUCCCUCCCCAUUCCCAUUCUUAUUUGUUACUAAGACCUAUUUUCAAUUAACUUUAUACAACAUAUGAUUAACUUUAUACUAAGUAAAGAGUUCAACAAAUUGUAUGAAAAAACUUUCUUGGGGCUG